AACUCAACAUUCUACCUCGCGAAACCCUAUCAACGCCGCCGUCACCCGAACCCCAUCCACGAGGAAGUCGCGCCAGCGCCGGAGCGUCCUCACCGCCGACGCCGCGACGCCGCCGCUGAAGCCUGCGGUGAUGCAGAAGACGGCGACACUCGCUACCAACCAUGACCCUGCCGUGGUCUUGCAAGCGACAGAACCAAGCCCUCCACUCCCUUUCUCCAUCCUCUCGUGGAAGAUGAAGACGCAACCGUCGCACGCCCGAUGACAGCACUCACAUCGUUCCCUCUUCCUCUUCCUCCCGCGCAAGGUCAACCAUGUCGUCACCGGAACGGGAACCCGCCACCCCUCGUCUCCGUCUGGAAUCAGGUGAUUCUUGCAGCCUCUGUAGUAUCAAAGUCUGUAAAAGGUAAGCUGGUUUACUAUUGCCCAUUUAUGAAAUCUAAAUACAUAUUAAAAUUCCUUGUACCGCUUUAUGCAUUCUUGUAUCAUUUCUUCUAUUUAGCAUAUCCCUUAUUCCAAUUACAAAGACAUCCACACCGUUCGUUUUUUAUAUGGUACGAUUUAUACUGAGAUCAAUUUGUCCUUUCUACAAAUAAUGAAUGGUAUUCAUUCCUGCACCCAUAGAAACUAUAAUAAUAAAUAUCUUUUACUAACUACUUUAUCCCUUUCUCCCAUCGCAGCUAAUUUUAUAAUAGAGCGCGACGCAUAGCAGCUCAUUGAGCCUGCCCACGUUAGCAAAAAGAAUAUAGACCCUGCGAUGAAACAUCAACGAUCACGGAGGUCUCAGCAUGUUGCCUACAUAGACUCACGCUGCUUCUAGAGAGGUCCAGCGCAUGGGGAAAAAAGAGGCAGACUCGAGUUGCCGUCGUCUUCGCUGGCCCUUGCCUAUCGUCCGUUCGCAUUCAUCUCAUUCAACUGGUAAAAUUAGGAGCACUCCCUCACACGCUACACAGCGACCUGGCCAACAUGCUAGCCGGUGGCUCAUCGUAUCUGGCGACUCUGGGCCACUGGAGCUUCUCCAACCACAGUCUCAACUCUCAAGAAGCUCCCAGCCGCCGCUCCCUCUCCCCCAUCCUCCUACCACGACGAUGGAUCCUGCUACCGUCGUCGUCAUCGAGGAGUCAUACCGGUCCUACUAUUGCAUGCGCGGUGUAAGGAACUCCAAGCAGUGUACGGAAGACAACAGGGCGAAAGCUAAAUUGCAGAAAAGAAAAGGAGGACAUUUGACUGUUGAACGAUGGUCGAAGGUUCCAAUUUCGGUGGCAUGAUUGGUGGUCAUGAUGAUGAUAGGAAUUUACUAGACCUCUCCGGAAUAUAAAGUAAUCAGCCAUAUAGUAUGUGGUCCUGGAGUUCAUAGUUUUGCUACUUUUCUGGCGUGACGAUGUGGCGGAGGCGAUGACAGGGCCUAAAACGGAUUGGUCGUCCUGCUCUGUGUCGGAAGUUAUGUGAAUUUUCUGCCUCCUAGCGCUAGACAGAUGAACUCCUUGCCAUUGCUUUCUACUGUUGUUUGUUUAUUUUAAUGCAGCAACAGAGCCUAUGAAGAAGCCCUAUUUUCUGCUGCUGUUUGCCAACUCCAAGUAGAUCGCCCACUGAAGAAGCUCACCCUCCUCGCUAUAGAAGAACCGUGAAAUUUUGUUUCGUUGCCAUAGUGGAAAUUGCAGCUGCAAUGCGUGAGGGAUGGUUGUCGGGUGUGUUUUCCUGACUAUAUAUGCCUUGAGAUAUUUCCCUGAGGAGGCAAUAGAUCCAGAUGUGUUAUUGUCACUUGCCUUCUCAUUUAAGGUAAUUCACUUCUUAAUGCUCAAAUUUUGUGUUUACAUGAGUGCUUUUUUGGAUAAAUGUUCUCCUACAUGUAACAUAUUCAUGUGUUUAUUUUGAUUUUCCCAUCAUAGCAUAAACUAAAAGUUGAUAUGUGUUGUUCGUUGAAACCAUUCCCAUUUGUUGCUUUUUGACUUUGGGCUAUAACGUUCUCUCCCUUUUAUGAAAACGAAGUUGCCAUUAUCUGGUGUACCUGAUUUAAUUCUCAUUAGUGUUUGGAUUUUGAAUAGUCAAUUAUGGUGCCAGCAGUCCUGUUAUAUUCUGUCCACCAGGUGAUUCAUGCAAGUGCUCACCUCCCGAAGAUAUGAAGAAAGUAAGAAAACAAAUCGUCGAUCACAUUUACCCGUGGAUAUUAGAAUGCCAAGAGAAAGGACAUGCCAAAGUGCCAUCAUUGGGAAGCAAAUGGAUGUUUAGGACGGACACUGGGGCUUUGAAGUAGUUGGUGGCUGCGACUGCGAGGCCGAGACGGGUUAGAUUGAGAGAGGUGGGCAGAUGGCGACACUGUCGUCGUCGCUUUGCUCCAGCUUUGCCUCCCUGCGGACCGCCUCCAUCGGCCACCCUCGCGUCAUCAUGUCAUCUACGCCCAGGUUAGUUUCUCCUUCCCUGCUUCCUAUUUGCCUGUGUCUGAGUAGCGACGCCCUCGCGUGAGGUACGAAUGUAGUAGCACCGAGCGGGCGGGUGGCCACCUCUUCCAUUCAGUCGCAUACUCGCAUCUCGCUCCUUGUCAGUCUUAGUUCCUAGCGAUCUCUUGUCUCGUUGCCGGCCCCCGACGGCUCCGUGCGGCUGCUGCUGCGAAUUCCAUUCUUAAAUUUUUGUCCACCUGAUGGCGGCCUCCAAGUGGCCCAGUCUCUUAAACUAUGCAGUUGUAGACAACUUAUAUAGUUGCAGUAGUUUCAGUCUUUUGCUGCUGCAAACAUGAAAUCCAAUUAUCUAUUGAACCUGUUUUGCGAGUUUGUGCGCUAUGGCCCGACAACGAAUUCGUAUUGAUUUGUUCUAUGAAGAGGUAGAUUAGGGAUCUCAAUCAUUUUGAAUGUGUUAUUUUCCAUUAUUUUUGUCUCUGUUGAUUCUGUGUUGCUGCUUGCCAUUUCUCUAUUAAGAUAAAAGAGGAAAAACAUUUAUAUCGAUCAACAAAGUCUAAAGCUUGCAGUAGAGUGGGCUUAUUUGAAAUGAUUUUGAUUAUCAAUUUUGUGGCACCUCAUAAAAGGAACUCAAGUGACAUUCAGAGAUGAGAGAUUGCCUGGAUUUCUAGCAAGAUUCAUGCAACGUCGGGAGGUGGGAAAAUAUUUUUUUGUCAACCUAAAAGUAUGCUUCUUAUUACCAACUAGGACUGCAUACCAGUUAGGUUCAGACUCUGUAAACAAAGGCCAAUACCCUAUCAGCACAACUCACACUGCUCCAGGUAUAUGCACAAUGUUACCAGUGAAGUAUAAUUUCAGACAGGUAUAUGCACAACGUGGCACCUGAUAGUUCAAAGACCAUCACGGAAAAAAUCAGUGAGUAUGACGAGACCCUGUUUUUCUUCUACGAAACAAUAGGUUCUGAUGCAUGUGUGAUAUUGACUAUGCUUUAGAUAUUAGUUCUUUAGUUCAAAGAUCACACAUUCUUUUCUGAUAGUUUUGACAUUUCAUCGAAGAUAACUUUUUUACUUUGUUUCAGUCUUGCGGGAAAUCAGUUCAUUUGCAAUUCAUCAAUUAUACAUGGUUGUUCGGAUCUGAUAGCAAUGAUUAAUGAUAAUUGAUUUCCCAGAUGGCACAUAUCUAUUCUUUAGAAACUGGAAGUUAAUUGUACAUUAAUGGCAGAGACAAUGUCAGUACAGGUCCAAAGGUCCAAGAACACCAUGAGUUAGCUCUACCAAUUUCUUUCAGUGUCACAUGUUUCGCAAUAUUUGUUUUGUUGUUUGUGUAUUGGCUAAGUUACUACUUAAUACAGAUGGUGCUUUCUUUUACUUCAGCUGGUAAUUAUCUAAGCCUAUGUAGUAUUAACACCUUACACGUUAAAUAUACAUGAUUUGACUUUUUAUUGUAUACCAAGAUCUAUAAUUUGAAUUGGGUCAUGUGAAGCAUUUUGCAUUUCAUGAUCUGCAAAGUGCAACAUACAAUUAUAAUUCCAAUAAUAUAUUAGGUCAAGUAGGUUUUAGCAUUGUGUAUAAAGGUUGUUUGAAAAAUGGAGCUUUAGUGAUAGUAAAGAGAUUAAAAGAUCUUGAUGUUACCAGUGAAGUAUAAUUUCAGACAGAAAUUGAGUUGAUUGGCCUUGUCGUGCACAGGGUGUUUAUAAGGAUUUUGCAUGACCUCUAAAGAACGGUUGCUUGUAUAUCCAUAUAUGCCAAAUGGUAGUGUUGCUGACCGCUUGAGAUGUAACUCAAUUGUCUACAACAUUGUUUGUUAGUUAAGUCUAUAAUUGGCAUUCUGCACAAGUUUGCAUUCCUUGUCAAUAUUUUGUGAUCUACAAAGUGCAACAAACAAUUUUAAUUCCAAGAAUAUAUUAAGUAAAGGAGGUUUUGGCAUUGUGUAUAAAGGUUGUUUGAGAAAUGGCUUGUGUUUCAUAUCCUUGAUAUUAUGAAUUUACAUAAUACAAUCUAAUCUGAAAGAUAGUUUUUUCAGGCUCAAGCGAUAGCGUGCGUGCAUGAGACUUAGAUGGCGGCUUCGGAGGCGGCAACGACAAUGUUAAAAAUAGUUUUUCUCACAAAAUUAAAAUAACUAUCUUGCUUUUCAGGCAUUGCCAGAAAUAGCUCAAAAGAUUACACGGUUGGAGAAUGAGAUACCUUGCUUGAUUCUUCUGGCGAGGUGUGGUAAUCUUAAUUAUUGUAUUCAGUAUUGUUCUUAUGUGAAUUUAUCAUCCUCCUCCCUAAUAUUAGACUUGCACAUUUUCUUUUACAUACUGAUCUUGCUGAACAUCACAAAUUGGGGCUUGAUAUAUCUGAACUGGAGAAGAAAAUCAUUUAUGAGAUGAUGAGACCAGAGAGGACUUUGUUGUAUUUGGUUCCUGGAAGGCUGGUUAGGGUGAGGGAUGGUUCAACAGACUGGGGAUGGGGUGUGGUGUGGUUGUAAAUCUAUACUACUCCUUAACAAGCUAAGGAGGGCGUCCACAACUCCGUGCCCCCGCCCCCGUCUCUCGCUCGCGACCUCCCGCACGACGCGCCAGGGCAAUCUGGACUUUGCUACAUACUGGUUUUUACAUGCACAAUAAAGCUAGCUGGUAUCACAUUUACUGGUGAUCCUGCUAAGAAUAAGAAAGAUCUAUUUGGUGCUAUUGCAAUGGUAUUGAGAGUUGUAGGAGGCAAGAAUUCACAAUUAUCUUUGCCUACACGCUAUUCUCUGAACACAAUAUUUACGAGCUUGAUAGGUCUAUUUUGGAAUACGAAUUAUGAGUUUGGUAGGUAAAUAAUUUAUACAAUGAUUCUUGGACCUUUGACCCUUUCUGCUUCAAGGAUUAAUGUGUGACUGUGUUUAGCCUUCAAUCCAAGCGACAUGCCACUAAUCUCAAAAAUGCUUCUAUGCAAUAUUUACUUGACAAUUUAUAUCUCUGCUGUUCCUUAGAGAUAUUUUCAUGUAAUAUGUUACAAGGUUGUUCAUGUGAGAUUUUUGGUCAUAAAUUAUAUUAUAUAUGAAGAUAAUGGGAGUCAGCCCUAAAUUCAUAUUAUCUGCAAUCUGCAGUUUCUUGAAAAAAAUGUUUGAUCUACAUCAGAAUUUUCCCAAAAUAUCUAACAGACUUGUUUUCUUCAGGCCAGGAACCCAGGGUCUACACAUCUUAUAACUGAAAAACACAUAAGCAGUAUGCGGUUCACACUUUUUUCUUGUUUGCAUUUUAUAAACCAUUAGACCCUUGUAACAAAAAGCAGAUUGUUUAGAUGUUAUGCUCACUUAAUAUGGAGAUUCUCAAGUAUCUUAGAAUCAGUUAUGUGUUGGAUAAAUGUCUUGGUUAUUUACUCUUCUAUUAGUGCUCUAGGCUUGUUCUGUGUUGGAUAAAUGUCUUGGUUAUUUACUCUUCUAUCCUCAAGUAUCUUAGGAAUAGGAUUCAUGACAAUGAGCCAUUGAUUUCUGAAGUUUUCCAAGCUAACCUAUUUGCUUUGUAGGCAAGAAGGUGAGCAAGGCAUCUAAGAUCCAGUGGCUUGUGAACCCUUGACCCUUCAGAGGAAGCAUGCUAGAAUCAUUGACAAGAAGAUUGCCAAGAAGAAGUCUGAGGCUGUCGAGUACCAAAAGCUUCUUCCUAUAGGCUGAAGGAAUAGAGAUCACCACAAUGAGAGCUUGGCCAAGAGAAGAUCCAAGCUUUCUACCUCUGCCAAGGCUUCCUCUGGCACCUCCGCUUAAGAAUGUCUUAAGAAUGUUCAGUGCUUUUGAGAUGUUUUCAAGACCUAUCUUGUUACAGCUUAAGUACCUUAUGCUGCUCUAGCUGUGUUGCAACUGUCCCUAUACUUGACAGAUUUGCAUUAGAUGCUUAGGCUAUAGAGGGUAGGAUCCUAAUUGUGACCAUGUACUAAAUUAUAUAUCUGUUGCUAAGUUACAGUACAGACAAAAUAAAUUUAGCCUGGCCAACUUGUAGAAAACGACUAACUUGUAGAAAAACGUGUUAUUGUAACUAAGAAUAUCUAAAUUGCUCC